ACGGGGUCUCAGUUGUCCCAGCCUUUUGAGUCCCUCAAGAUCGCUGUGCCUCCCGAUACCGCCGCCGUGCCUGCCAAGCCUGCAACCCCAGCUACACCCGGAUCGCCGACCUCACCAGCAGAACACCACCUGUUGGAGACCUGCUGGAGCUGUCACGUGCUUUCUGGGUUGCGGCUGAUGGGGGCAGGCGGGUAUGUGUACUGGGUGGCACAGAAGCCCAUGAAGAUGGGAUACCCCCCGGGUCCAUGGACCAUUAUGAAGAUGGUCAUGGGCCUUAGCAUUGCCGCCUGGGGUAUCAUUGUCAUGGCAGACCCCAAAAGGAAGGCCUACCACAUUGUUU
rnacentral:lncRNA from 1 species